rnacentral:rRNA from 1 species
GACGAACGCUGGCGGCGUGCUUAACACAUGCAAGUCGAGCGGAAAGGCCCCUUCGGGGGUACUCGAGCGGCGAACGGGUGAGUAACACGUGAGUAAUCUGCCCCUGGCUUUGGGAUAACCACCGGAAACGGUGGCUAAUACCGGAUACGACCACUCCCGGCAUCGGGUGGUGGUGGAAAGUUUUUUCGGCCAGGGAUGUGCUCGCGGCCUAUCAGCUUGUUGGUGGGGUAAUGGCCUACCAAGGCUUCGACGGGUAGCCGGCCUGAGAGGGUGACCGGCCACACUGGGACUGAGACACGGCCCAGACUCCUACGGGAGGCAGCAGUGGGGAAUAUUGGACAAUGGGCGGAAGCCUGAUCCAGCAACGCCGCGUGAGGGAUGACGGCCUUCGGGUUGUAAACCUCUUUCAGUACCGACGAAGCGCCGAUGAUGGUGGUGACGGUAGGUACAGAAGAAGCACCGGCCAACUACGUGCCAGCCGCCGCCGUAACAC